rnacentral:snoRNA from 1 species
GCCCUCUAGAUAUCUUACCCCUCGGAUCAACAUAUUGGUCUGAUUGGCUCAAAAGGAGGAAGAGUACAACUGAAGUGGAUUUAGAGACUUUAGUGACAUACAAGUUCAUUUCAAACAUAU